rnacentral:tRNA from 1 species
GCCCUAGUGGCAGAACUGGUUAAGUGCUUGGCUGCUAACCAAAAGGUUGGUGGUUCAAACCCAUCCAAUGGCU